AACGAACGCUGGCGGCAGGCUUAACACAUGCAAGUCGAGCGUCCCGCAAGGGGAGCGGCAGACGGGUGAGUAACGCGUGGGAAUCUACCCAUCUCUACGGAAUAACGCAUGGAAACGUGUGCUAAUACCGUAUACGUCCUUCGGGAGAAAGAUUUAUCGGAGAUGGAUGAGCCCGCGUUGGAUUAGCUAGUUGGUGGGGUAAAGGCCUACCAAGGCGACGAUCCAUAGCUGGUCUGAGAGGAUGAUCAGCCACACUGGGACUGAGACACGGCCCAGACUCCUACGGGAGGCAGCAGUGGGGAAUAUUGAACAAUGGGCGCAAGCCUGAUCCAGCCAUGCCGCGUGAGUGAUGAAGGCCCUAGGGUUGUAAAGCUCUUUCACCGGUGAAGAUAAUGACGGUAACCGGAGAAGAAGCCCCGGCUAACUUCGUGCCAGCCGCCGCAGUAAUAC
rnacentral:rRNA from 1 species